rnacentral:rRNA from 1 species
CCCUACGGGGCGCAGCAGUAGGGAAUUUUCGUCAAUGGGCGCAAGCCUGAACGAGCGAUGCCGCGUGAGUGAAGAAGGCCUUCGGGUCGUAAAGCUCUGUUGCGGGGGAAAAAAGGCAGCAUCAGGAAAUGGGUGCUGACUGAUGGUGCCCCGCCAGAAAGUCACGGCUAACUACGUGCCAGCAGCCGCGGUAAUACGUAGGUGGCGAGCGUUAUCCGGAAUGAUUGGGCGUAAAGCGCUCGUAGGCGGUAUGUCAAGUCAAGGGUGAAAUCCCCGCGCUCAACGUGGGAACUGCCUUUGAAACU